rnacentral:lncRNA from 1 species
AUGCUGGCAGGGAGGUGGCAGAGAGCUCACUGGGACUGAGGGGCUGGGCACCCAACCCUUUUCCACCUGUGCUUAUCGCCUGGAUCUAUCAUUACUGCAAAAACCUGCUCUGUUGUGCUGGCUGGCAGGCCCUGUGGCUGCUGGCUGAGGGUUCUGCUGUCCUGUGCCACCCCAUUAAAGUGCAGUUCCCUCCGGGCCAUUCUGAAUGU